rnacentral:rRNA from 1 species
UACGUAGGUGGCAAGCGUUGUCCGGAUUUACUGGGCGUAAAGAGCGCGCAGGCGGUCGUUCAAGUCGCGUGUGAAAGCCCCCGGCUCAACUGGGGAGGGUCACGCGAUACUGAUCGACUCGAAGGCAGGAGAGGGAAGUGGAAUUCCCGGUGUAGUGGUGAAAUGCGUAGAUAUCGGGAAGAACACCAGUGGCGAAGGCGGCCGGCUGGGGGCGCCCUGACGCUGAGGCGCGAGAGCGUGGGGAGCAAACCGG